UACGGGGGGGGCAAGCGUUGUUCGGAAUCACUGGGCGUAAAGGGCGCGUAGGCGGCUUUGUAAGUCGGGGGUGAAAGCCUGUGGCUCAACCACAGAAUUGCCUUCGAUACUGCAUGGCUUGAGACCGGAAGAGGUUAGUGGAACUGCGAGUGUAGAGGUGAAAUUCGUAGAUAUUCGCAAGAACACCAGUGGCGAAGGCGGCUGACUGGUCCGGUUCUGACGCUGAGGCGCGAAAGCGUGGGGAGCAAACAGG
rnacentral:rRNA from 1 species